rnacentral:tRNA from 1 species
GGCGCGGUACCCAAGAGGCCUAAGGGAGAGGUCUGCAAAACCUCCAUACGUGGGUUCAAAUCCCACCCGCGCCUCCA